CCUACGGGUGGCAGCAGUGGGGAAUAUUGCACAAUGGGGGAAACCCUGAUGCAGCGACGCCGCGUGAGUGAAGAAGUAUUUCGGUAUGUAAAGCUCUAUCAGCAGGGAAGAAAAUGACGGUACCUGAUUAAGAAGCCCCGGCUAACUACGUGCCAGCAGCCGCGGUAAUACGUAGGGGCAAGCGUUAUCCGGGUUUACUGGGUGUAAAGGGGGCGUAGACGGCAGAACAAGUCUGGAGUGAAAUGCCGGGGCUUAACCCCGGAACUGCUUUGGAAACUGUGCAGCUAGAGUGGAGGAGAGGUAAGUGGAAUUCCUAGUGUAGCGGUGAAAUGCGUAGAUAUUAGGAGGAACACCAGUGGCGAAGGCGGCUUACUGGACUGUAACUGACGUUGAGGCUCGAAAGCGUGGGGAGCAAACAGGAUUAGAUACCCUAGUAGUC
rnacentral:rRNA from 1 species